CCAGCUCCAAUAGCGUAUACUAAAGUUGUUGCAGUUAAAAAGCUCGUAGUUGAAUUUCUGGUCUUGGGCAGUGGUCUAUCAUUCAUUUGAUGUGUACCUUUUGUCUGAGUCCAUCCUCGUGGAAAACGUAUCUGUCAUUAAGUUGAUGGGUACGCGAUCCACGUCAUUUACUGUGAGCAAAAUAGAGUGUUCAAAGCAGGCUUAUGCCGUUGAAUACAUUAGCAUGGAAUAAUAAGAUAGGACCUCGGUCUAUUUUGUUGGUUUGUACUCCGAGGUAAUGAUUAAUAGGGAUAGUUGGGGGUAUUCGUAUUCAAUUGUCAGAGGUGAAAUUCUUGGAUUUAUGGAAGACGAACUACUGCGAAAGCAUUUACCAAGGAUGUUUUCA
rnacentral:rRNA from 1 species